AUUGAACGCUGGCGGCAUGCCUUACACAUGCAAGUCGAACGGCAGCACGGGAGCAAUCCUGGUGGCGAGUGGCGAACGGGUGAGUAAAGUAUCGGAACGUGCCCGGUCGUGGGGGAUAACGUAGCGAAAGUUACGCUAAUACCGCAUACGAUCUAUGGAUGAAAGCGGGGGAUCGCAAGACCUCGCGCGAUUGGAGCGGCCGAUAUCAGAUUAGGUAGUUGGUGGGGUAAAGGCUCACCAAGCCGACGAUCUGUAGCUGGUCUGAGAGGACGACCAGCCACACUGGGACUGAGACACGGCCCAGACUCCUACGGGAGGCAGCAGUGGGGAAUUUUGGACAAUGGGCGCAAGCCUGAUCCAGCCAUGCCGCGUGCAGGAUGAAGGCCUUCGGGUUGUAAACUGCUUUUGUACGGAACGAAAAGGUUUGGCUUAAUACGUUGAACUCAUGACGGUACCGUAAGAAUAAGCACCGGCUAACUACGUGCCAGCCGCCGCCGUAA
rnacentral:rRNA from 1 species